rnacentral:lncRNA from 1 species
UGCGUGAGGUUGUAUUUCACUCUCCAAUCGGCCAGUAAGCCCCCCUUGGAAAAAAAAAAGAAAAAAAAGAAAAAAAAAGAUAAUAUUAUUAAUAAUGAUGAUGAUGGUGAUGGUGAUGAUGAUGAUGGUGAUAGUGAUGAUGAUGACAAUAAUAAUAAUGAACUAAUCAAAGAUGAUUUGAUCGUAUCUACUUGUUCUUUGCUUUUUCCAAGCCAGCUUGGUGGGUCUUCCAACCCACGGACCCCAGACGUUCCCCAGACGGGUUCUGGAGAAGCUGGCUCCUUUUUUUUACGGCUGCUGGUGGCCCGGGACACCCUCCUCAGCCCCGCCGUACCCCCUCCGCCGGCCGCACUCCCCGGCUGCCCCUACCGGCGGUGGCAGCGGGCAGAGCCGUCCUCCCCGUCCCUCCCCUCGCACCUUUCGCAGCUCCCCGGCCCCAGACGACCCCCGGCCGCGGGUCGGGCCCCCCCUCAGCUCCUUCCCCCGCCGCGGGGGCGGCCGCUGCUCCCCGGGAGCCCUUUCCUCUCUCCGUCCCUAUGCAAAUCGCGCCCCGCAGCAGGAAGUAGGCUGGCGGGCUCCCGGCCAACCGCCGGCACCGGGGCCAAGUUCCCUCCGCCGGCUUCAGCGCCCGUGUCCCGGCCGGCGGGGCAGCAGCGCCGCGCUCCGCAGCCCCCCGCCCCCGGCCCGCCCGCAGAGCCCCCCGCAGACGCCGGCGACUUCACCCGCCGCCCACCGAGCCCCGCACACGGCGAAGUAAGUGCUUUCGGCGUCUGUCCGUCUCUCCGUCCGUCUGUCCGUCCCGUCAGAGAGCCCCCACCCCAGCCGCCCCCACCCCGCAGCCCCCCGCAGCGCCGCCCUGAGCCGGCCCGUCCCGCACGGAGGAGGAGGAGGAGGAGGAGGUGGAGGAGGAAGAAGGGGGCUCCCUGCUGUCGGUGGCUCAUGGGCGCCGGGCAGGCUCCGGGGGUUGGUCGUGGUAAGGGGCUGCGGCGGUGGGGGAGAACAGGGGGGCGCUGGGGGAUGCCUGGUCCCCGCCCGGGGGGUGCCCGACCCCACACAGGGGGUGCCCGACCCCGCACAGGGGGUGUCUGA